GAUGAACGCUGGCGGCGUGCCUAAUACAUGCAAGUCGAGCGAACAGACGAGGAGCUUGCUCCUCUGACGUUAGCGGCGGGCGGGUGAGUAACACGUGGAUAACCUACCUAUAAGACUGGGAUAACUUCGGGAAACCGGAGCUAAUACCGGAUAAUAUAUUGAACCGCAUGGUUCAAUAGUGAAAGACGGUUUUGCUGUCACUUAUAGAUGGAUCCGCGCCGCAUUAGCUAGUUGGUAAGGUAACGGCUUACCAAGGCAACGAUGCGUAGCCGACCUGAGAGGGUGGUAGGCCACAUUGGAGCGUGAACACGGUCCAUGGGCCUGCGGGACGCAGCAGUAUGGUACGUUACGCAGUAGUCGGGAGCCUGACACAGUGGCGCGGCGUCUGUGGUGAAGAUGUUCGGUGCGUGAUGCUCUGUUUUGAGUUGAGAACAAAUGUGUAAGGAGCUAUGCACGUAUUGACGGUACCUGGUCAGAAAGCCACGGCUAACUACGUG
rnacentral:rRNA from 1 species